GAUGAACGCUGGCGGCGUGCCUAAUACAUGCGAGUCGAGCGAACAGACGAGGAGCUUGCUCCUCUGACGUUAGCGGCGGACGGGUGAGUAACACGUGGAUAACCUACCUAUAAGACUGGGAUAACUUCGGGAAACCGGAGCUAAUACCGGAUAAUAUAUUGAACCGCAUGGUUCAAUAGUGAAAGACGGUUUUGCUGUCACUUAUAGAUGGAUCCGCGCCGCAUUAGCUAGUUGGUAUGGUAACGGCUUACCAAGGCAACGAUGCGUAGCCGACCUGAGAGGGUGAUCGGCCACACUGGAACUGAGACACGGUCCAGACUCCUACGGGAGGCAGCAGUAGGGAAUCUUCCGCAAUGGGCGAAAGCCUGACGGAGCAACGCCGCGUGAGUGAUGAAGGUCUUCGGAUCGUAAAACUCUGUUAUUAGGGAAGAACAAAUGUGUAAGUAACUAUGCACGUCUUGACGGUACCUAAUCAGAAAGCCACGGCUAACUACGUG
rnacentral:rRNA from 1 species